ACUUUGUGAUGUGGGCAUUUAUGCAAAAGGUCUCUCAAGUGCUCCAAUGUCUCAAAAAUUUCCCAUUAUCUAUUUGUGAGAAACUAGUAAUUGCCUUCCUAAGCU